rnacentral:rRNA from 7 species
UUGACCUCGGAUCAGGUGAGGAUACCCGCUGAAUUUAAGCAUAUCAA